AGGCUAAGAAGGCAUAAGAAAGACUGAGAAGAAAACCAUUGCUUCUUGUAUGCUGCAAAGAGAUGGGAAGGAGGAAGGGGUCGUAAGGAAAACAUCAAAAGACAAAAUGAAGAGUACUGGUACUCAGAUAAACCUAACUUAAAAGUAGGCAAAGGGGGAGAGGGGACAGGAUAGAGAAAACUGGUCUCAGUGUGGUGGGGAAGUGAGAGCCCACCUCCGUUUGCCAGCUUUUUUCUGUUCCCAAGAGCGAUGUGCUCUGCAGAAGACAGACAGAUGGCAUUUCCAUUGCCUGUGCUCCUGUGGGGGAUUUUUCCAGAUGGGGAGUUGGAAGCUUCUUUGUGCUGUUACAGCCUUCCUCUCUAGCAGCUCUCGACCGCUCAGGGCCUCCACCAGUCUGCGUGCUCAGAUCCUGUGCUCCUUAUACACGCGCACACACACGUCUUGCUGCUGCAUGAAUUUCAGCUGAACCUGUUUGAAAAAUGGGUCCGUUUGUAUCUAGGGUGUUCUUCACACUUGAAAAGUAUCCUUGUUGCCUUUUCUUCUUAUGACAUGCACCUGUGUUUUGUCACAACGAAGAGAUUGCUAACAAAAACUGAAUUACUACCACUGAUCUUAAGGAAAAGCUGACAGGACUGUUUUUCACAGAGGAACCACAGACACCAUCGCCUCCAUCACCCAUUAACUUCAGCAGUGUCAGUGCUUUCCUACCUCUGACAAACAGGGAGAACAGAAAUGACAGGUUUCUCAAAACUACCUGAAAAAAAUAACAACCGUGGGGUGACCGAGGAAGCAGGAGAAAUCCAAGGAAGCCAUUCUAAAUAAGAAGCUGUCACCCUUGAUCUGCUCUCCCUUAACAGCUGAGCAAAUGAACACAGAAAGUAGAACUUUGGAAAGGUAAUGUGAUUUCAUGUUUUACAAUCAACUACAGGGACAGACUAAGUGUGAUCCCUUUAUCUUAGCUAUACAUUACAUUUCUGAACAUCUCACCUGCGUACAUAAGUACAUUUUUUGGUUUGUUUUUAUACUUCCC
ensembl:lncRNA